AGUUGUUUCUGGUGCUGAGGUCGAUACUUGGUGGUCCAUCUGAUUUAAUUACUUUUUUGAACUUUGUAGCAGUUUGGUACAACUGAGUGGAUCGCUAGGCCAUUUCAGAGGGCGUGUAAGAGUCAACUGCAUUGCUGUGUCCUGUCCUCUCUCCCAGACGGGGAUGUGUUGAGAUACAGCGGCCCGCCCCGUACUCUCUCCGGGACGGGGACGUGUUGAGGUGGGUAGGUGGGCGGGCGGCCCGCCCCGUGCUCCCUCCAUGUGUCGAAUUCUCAGGUGAAACAAACAAUCGGCGCCAGUUCCGGGUUCGCUGACGUCACCGCUCGCUCGCGCCCGCCCAUUAACGGUGGGAGGCCGAGGCUUUAGUCGGAGACGCGGUGGAAGGCCGGCUUCACACUGAGUUUUUGGCCGUCAUUCUGUUAUGUGUCGGAGGCUGUGCGGGCCUCGGCUGCUUUGGCUCUGGCUUCUGAUGUGGGCUGGACAUGCGGUGCUGGGUACGCGGGUGUCCAUGAAGCAGCAAGAAAACAGGACCGGCACCCUCCUGGUCCAGGGUCACCAAGCCAACAGCAGUAGCAACAGCACCGGGCAGGAGGCGAGAGUGGAGACCAAGGGUGGCAAGUACCAUGAGACCUCUGCAGAACAGACCAUGAUGAUCCAGCGGGCCCUGUAUGUGCUGGUCGUUGUCACCGCCCUGGUCGUCAUCUACUUCGUGGUGAGAACCAUCAGGAUGAGAAGGAUUAACAGAAAAAACCGCAAGUAUGGUAUACUGAACACAAAUCUAGAAAACAUGGAAAUGAGGCCUUUAGAUCAAGACGAUGAUGAUGAGGAUGAUACAUUAUUUGAUGUACAUCAUUCAAGAAGACAUAUGACCUCUCGUUUGGAAUCCCCACAAGUGGAAACAUUCUAGCUCACUGGAAGACAAACUAUCAUGUGCUAUUGGGCUAUAAUUAGGUAGUCUCAAAGGUAAAUGGAGUCAAUCCUAAGAGUGCACCCUGCAAGAAAACCAAAACUACAGAGCAAUAUCAAGAAACUGCCUGCAUCUUGUUUUACCAUAAUGAGCUCUAAAUCUAUGUAUUAUGUCAGCUGUAUUGUAAGUUACUGUACAGUAGUUUUGUAGCUCCACUAUCUUAUUGAAAAAUUCACUAUUUUAAUAAGGUAAAUAUUUGUUUCUAUAAUUAUAAAUGAAAAUGGAGAAUGUAUUUUUUUAAUUCUGUCAAAAGUGACAAUUAUAUAGUCUUUUUAGGGUUGAAAAAUCAAGAUGAAUUUUUCCCAGUUCUUUUGUACAUAUGACCAUUAAUCUGAGUUUGGACUGAAACAAUAUGGGGUUAGAAUUUCUCUUCUAAAAAGAAACCUGAGAUCUGUAUUUUCCAAGUUCAACUUUGACCCCUGUUUUAAAAUUAGAAUCAGAUCCUGGAAUAAAAAUAUCGAGUCACAAAGAUUUAAAAAAUAGCUGGUGACUAAUGUAGAACCCAGGGGUAGUAAGACUUCAGCAUCUGCAGAACAAUAUAAAUUAUUACUGUAGUUUGUAGCACUAAUGUUAGAUAUUGGUAUUUUACAGUAAUCUGUUAAAAUAUUUUACUGCAGUGUUGAUAUUAUAGAGAUGUUGCAUAUCAGUGCAUUAUAUAGAGAUUCAAAAUUCUGUCAUUUUGUACAGAAUAUACACUGAUGUGCACAAACUAGGAAAGUGUUUACAGACUACCUACCUGAAGAAAUUCCUGUGAAGAUUUGUUUGAUUUUUUUUGUCCCUUUUGUGCAAUGUAGGUUAGGAAUGAGAACUUGAAAGAAUGUUUGCUUAAUGUUGAUCAAUGCUUUUCAAUUAAAUUUCUGUAAUUUACUUUUAUGGAGUUUUUUUGGGCAAAUGAUGGUGACCUUUAUAAGUUAACUUACAAGGAUUUUUAAGUAGUAACACACUUUGAAACUUACUUUGGAUUAAACAUCAGUUGCUACUGCUAUUAAUAGAAUGCUAACAAAUAUGGUUUCAACUCUUUUGUAAAUAAAAACCAUACCCUUCA